UUCCGCUGUGUCUUGAAAUGGUUACAUUCCCUUGCCAUAUUGCACCCAUGGAAUUCGUUUCCAGCGGUUGACCACGGAUGUACUGGCAAUCGUUGUCGAGACGGGUCGGAGAGGUCGGGUUUUCACCCGGCCUUUUUCUUU
rnacentral:sRNA from 1 species